rnacentral:sRNA from 1 species
UCACUCCCGCGCAGUGAGGUUGGCACAGCCUGUGGCUGGCUUGGUUCCCUUAGUCCCGAGCGCUCGCCCACUGCAGCUUCCUUUACCGUGCAGACAUGGCCUCUGGCACCACCACCACCGCCGUGAAGAUUGGAAUAAUUGGUGGAACAGGCCUGGAUGAUCCAGAAAUUUUAGAAGGAAGAACUGAAAAAUAUGUGGAUACUCCAUUUGGCAAGGUUAAUAUCCAACUUGUGGAGACAUGUUAGUUUUUUCAUUUCUCCUUGCUGGCUUGAUUUUUGAAUUAAAAAAAAAAAAAAAAGAA